rnacentral:rRNA from 1 species
UACGUAGGGUGCAAGCGUUGUCCGGAUUUAUUGGGCGUAAAGAGCUCGUAGGCGGUUUGAUAAGUCGGGUGUGAAAUCUCCAGGCUCAACCUGGAGCUGCCACUCGAUACUGUCAUGACUUGAAUUCGGUAGGGGACCACGGAAUUCCUGGUGUAGCGGUGAAAUGCGCAGAUAUCAGGAGGAACACCUGUGGUGUAGACAGCUUGCUGGACCAUUUCUGACGCUGAGACACGAAAGCGUGGGUAGCAAACAGG